GUGAGAGUGGUCAUUUGUUUGUGGAUACAAAGACAACUUAGGAUCUGCAUAGACCUUCAUUAAACCAAAGGGUCUUUCAGAAGUAGAGGACAAACCACAAAAAUCUCUCAAUGAGAAACAGCAAGAAAAUCAAGAGCUUCUUAUCUGAUGUAUUGGACAACACCUAGGCUUCGCAGGGAACAGACCAAUUGCUGCUAGUAUCAUCUACAAAUGCCUUCUACAGUGGAGAUCUUUUGAAGUUGAGCGGACUAGUGUGUUUGACCGAAUCAGUCGAACCAUAGGCCAUGCUAUCGAGACCCAGGAUAACAAUGACAUCUUAGCCUAUUGGUUGUCCAAUUCCUCGUCUCUUCUGCUGCUGCUACAGCGUACAUUGAAAGCAAGUGGUGCCGCUGGAAUGGGCGCCGUCGAUUAUCCUCGGCUACUCUGUUUAGAAGGAUGACACAGAGUUUCCGAGGAACUCCGCAAGGAGUUAAUCUUUCCUUUGUAAAUGGUGGCCUGACUGGUGGAGCAGAAGCUUUACACCAAGUUGAAGCCAAAUACCCAGCUUUGCUUUUCAAGUAGCAAUGUACAGCAUUUGUAGAAAAGAUUUAUGGAAUAAUUCGAGAUAACCUUAAGAAAGAGAUUUCUCCAUUGCUUGGGUUGUGCAUCCAGUGUUUAUUCGAUGUAUUACCAAAGGACUGCAGACUUGAUUUCUCUUCAUUCUGUUCAAUGGAAAAAAGACUUACACGGAAACUGAACUUGAUGAAGUGCAAGUUGAAUGGAUUAAUUUCGUACUAAAGAAUAUGAGUUGAAAUCCAAUGAGAUGAAGACUCAGUGUGAUGAGAAAAUGUUCUAUUUCGUCUUUUGUCAGAAGUUCUUGGAGAAAUGCAAAAUAUGGUCAAAGAAUUUAACAAACUUAGUUUUUUC